GGGGAUGCGUGGUUUCGACAGGGUCCGGAAGACCGUGAACGCGAGCCGAGGUGCCGUCAGGCCUCGUUAAACAGGCGGCAAAUCGAAGUACCUGCCAACAAGCAGUCGACUCUCGCCCUCGCCGCUUAGGCGGUAAGGUGAGCGUGGAAGCAACCUCGGUCCCGCGGGUUGUGGAAGCGUCAUGCAGCGGGGCUGCAGCCCGGAUGAGCGUCGCGUAGUCCGGAGUCAAGCUCGAUCUAGAGGCACGUGACUGGACCGACGGUGAGGGUGCCGAUCCUCGCCCCGACGGUCGACGAAAAUGAUCGGACACGCUCGUAGUUGGUCGCGGCCGAAGGGCUCUGGACGGGGAGUUCGACUCUCCCCCAUCUCCACCA
rnacentral:tmRNA from 1 species